GCCUGGCUGGCUCAGUCAGUGGAGCAUGCAACUCUUGAUCUUGGGGUUGUGGGUUUGAGCCCCACGCUGGGUA
rnacentral:tRNA from 1 species